GGGGUGAUGGCGGAACAGGCAGACGCAUCGGUCUUAAAAACCGAAGGACUAACCGUCCGUGUGGGUUCGAGUCCCACUCGCCCCA
rnacentral:tRNA from 1 species